CAGAGAAUUGAGAAGAGAGGAUUAACAUUUGGGUGAGGUGAGGCACCUGGAAGAAGCCUUGAAAUACGUUUCCUAUUGUGAACUCUGGACUCCUUAGAUUCAGGUUACGUAUGUUGAACUGUACAGUCGACUGCAGGACUGAAAGUUGAUUAUAUCAGCCACAUGCCCAGAGUGGAGGGACGAGACUCCAUUGCACAGCUGGUUGGAUGUGGCCAUGUGAAAAAAUUUACC
rnacentral:lncRNA from 1 species